ACCUACGGGAGGCAGCAGUGGGGAAUAUUGCACAAUGGGGGAAACCCUGAUGCAGCGACGCCGCGUGAGUGAUGAAGUAUUUCGGUAUGUAAAGCUCUAUCAGCAGGGAAGAUAAUGACGGUACCUGACUAAGAAGCUCCGGCUAAAUACGUGCCAGCAGCCGCGGUAAUACGUAUGGAGCAAGCGUUAUCCGGAUUUACUGGGUGUAAAGGGAGCGUAGGCGGCCAUGCAAGUCAGAAGUGAAAACCCGGGGCUCAACCCUGGGAGUGCUUUUGAAACUGUGCGGCUAGAGUGUCGGAGGGGGA
rnacentral:rRNA from 1 species